rnacentral:lncRNA from 1 species
ACAAAUCAUCAAAUUAAAAAUCAACCCAGAUUGCUUCCUCUUCCAAUCGAAAAUCAAACCCAAGUGGUUAAAAAUCAAUUCCAUGUAUGAAGAAUCAAAAACCCAUAUUCAAAAAUUCUCUCUUUCAAAAUUCGAAAAUCCUCUCUUUCAAUUUCUUGACUGUGUUGCUGUUUCUUGAUUGGAGGGGUGGAGGGUAUGAUCUGGAAGAAAAGAAAUAGAGAGAAGAGAAAAGAGAAGAGAAGGAAGAAGAAAAGGAAUAACAAAAAGAGAGAAAGUGGGAUAGAAUAGAAGGAAGAAGAGAAUAGAGAAGAGAAUGAUGAAGAUAAUAGAAGGAAGAAGAAAAGAAAGAAGAUAAACAGAGAAGGUGGGAGAUAAGAGAAGGAAGAAGAGAGAAGGGGAUUACGCUGGAGAAGAAGAGAGAAAAAGAAAUGAGAUUUUUUUUUUUUUAAUUUAUCAUUAAGGGUAUUUUAGGUAUUUCAUCUUUUUAACAUAAUUUUAAAAAUUAAAAAUUAUGACGUGUCAAUGCCAUUUCACCAAUUACUACACAGUCAGCGUGCCACAUCAGCUCAUUAAUCCAGUCAGAUGACAUCAGGGGUGUAAACCAAAGAAUCUUCAUUUUACAAGGGGAUUACACUCACAAAAUGAGGUGUACCAGUACUCCUGCUUCUUAAUUUUAUAAAUGAACAAUAAUAUUUUAUGUAGUAAAUAGCUAUUUGUCAAUAUUUAUAUUUUAUAGAACAACAUUUCAUAAUAAAAAACAUUAUUUAAUUAUUU